rnacentral:rRNA from 1 species
AACGAACGCUGGCGGCAUGCCUAACACAUGCAAGUCGAACGAGACCUUCGGGUCUAGUGGCGCACGGGUGCGUAACGCGUGGGAACCUGCCCUUAGGUUCGGAAUAACUCCCCGAAAGGGGUGCUAAUACCGGAUAAUGUCUUCGGACCAAAGAUUUAUCGCCUUUGGAUGGGCCCGCGUUGGAUUAGCUAGUUGGUAGGGUAAAAGCCUACCAAGGCGACGAUCCAUAGCUGGUCUGAGAGGAUGAUCAGCCACACUGGGACUGAGACACGGCCCAGACUCCUACGGGAGGCGGCAGUGGGUAAUAUUGCACAAUGGGCGAAGGCCUGAUCCAGCAAUGCCGCGUGAGUGAUGAAGGCCUUAGGGUUGUAAAGCUCUUUUACCCGGGAUGAUAAUGACAGUACCGGGAGAAUAAGCUCCGGCUAACUCCGUG